UACAUGCAAAUUUCAGACACUCCUUUGUACUUCAUUCUCUGUCAUUCUAACGGUGCGACGAAGGUCAAGACAACAGUCUGAUAUCAUCUGUCAAGCUCCAUUACAACUUAUCAUGUAAUUGGUACAGUCCGAUCAAACAAACAAGAAGAUGCAGACACCAUAAGUCCUGUCAGUUGUGUUGGUGAACGCAGUUCCCGCCCCAGUUUCAACUACAGGGGCGUUUGUUCUGAUAAUAAAUCCUCACGACAAAUAACGACCUGUGUUAUUCAUGAACACCCCCGGUUACACUUUCUCAAACAUCAACACAGCUUUACACAAAGAAAAAAGUUAAACACACCCCUAUUUCUGAACCAUGACAAAUGGCAUAAAUCAUGGUAUGGGAUGUGACUGACCACGGAAGCUGGGCGAUACCAAUGCCAUCGGAUAGAACAAACAUUUGACAACAAAUGAAG